rnacentral:lncRNA from 1 species
UACUGAUCUUCUUGUUUGGGUUGUCGGCCCUGACGGUGACAUCGAACUCCGGCGAGAUCGACGCUGUCGCGGCCGCCGAGGAGACAUUGAAGCCGGUGAUGGAGAUGUCCUCGACGGAGUAGCUGAGGGCCUUGGGCCGGAUAACGAGGUAGAAAAUACCAGCGGCGAUGGCGAGUAGGAAGAUGAGGAGCGCGGCGAGGCCGAGGAACCAGCAGAGGCAGCAGCAGCAGCCGCUCCGUCGAGGCUUCCGGCCACUGUACUUCUGGUAGCGGCGGGCGUUUUCGGGAGGCGGGUGGCGGAAGAUCUGGUCCUUGGGGAUCUGGAUGACAUAGGUCCCCGCGGGAGGGACGGGAUUUUCCGGCGUUGGAG